rnacentral:lncRNA from 1 species
UACAAAUCAGCUAAAGACCUGAGCUAAAGGCACACUUGGUCAACACCCCAGGAUUCCACCUUCCACCAUCUACCAAAUACCUGAAACCCUGCUUCACAGGCACCUGGAUCACUGCUACUCUUUUCCAAAGACUCCUAAUCUGAUGCUUCUCUGCAGAAAUUACUCCAUAGCAGGAAAACUCCCAGACAGGACAGUUCCAUCAACACUGACCUGGAAUGCAGACAAUAUGAGAAACAACUGAAACAGACCCUCAACAGACUUGUAGCAUGAGAAAGAAGGAAACUCGUUUUAUGGUUUUUUAUUACUGUAAC